AGUGAACGCUGGCGGUAGGCCUAACACAUGCAAGUCGAACGGCAGCACAGUAAGAGCUUGCUCUUACGGGUGGCGAGUGGCGGACGGGUGAGGAAUACAUCGGAAUCUACUUUUUCGUGGGGGAUAACGUAGGGAAACUUACGCUAAUACCGCAUACGACCUACGGGUGAAAGCAGGGGAUCUUCGGACCUUGCGCGAUUGAAUGAGCCGAUGUCGGAUUAGCUAGUUGGCGGGGUAAAGGCCCACCAAGGCGACGAUCCGUAGCUGGUCUGAGAGGAUGAACAGGCACACGGGAACAUAGACAGCGUCCCAACCCCGAAGGGGGGCCACGGUUGGGAAUAUUUGGACAGGGGGCAGAGGCGUAAUCCGGCCAACCGGGGGAGGUAAGAAAGGCCUUGGGGUUGUAAAGCCUUUUUGUUGGGAAAAAAAAAAGGCAGUUUAAUCCCCCGGUUUUUGACGGGACCCAAAGAAAAAGCCACGGCUAACUUUGUG
rnacentral:rRNA from 1 species